rnacentral:rRNA from 1 species
CUCGUUCGGNANNNAAGAUGGGCGGCACCGUUACGNGGCUCUCACACCAUCGNGAUGUGCCCAGAUGGGAUUAGCUAGUAGGUGAGGUAAUGGCUCACCUAGGCGACGAUCCCUAGCUGGUCUGAGAGGAUGACCAGCCACACUGGAACUGAGACACGGUCCAGACUCCUACGGGAGGCAGCAGUGGGGAAUAUUGCACAAUGGGCGCAAGCCUGAUGCAGCCAUGCCGCGUGUGUGAAGAAGGCCUUCGGGUUGUAAAGCACUUUCAGCGAGGAGGAAGGGUUCGGUGUUAAUAGCACNGUUCAUUGACGUUACUCGCAGAAGAAGCACCGGCUAACUCCGUGCCAGCAGCCGCGGUAAUACGGAGGGUGCAAGCGUUAAUCGGAAUUACUGGGCGUAAAGCGCACGCAGGCGGUUUGUUAAGUCAGAUGUGAAAUCCCCGAGCUUAACUUGGGAACUGCAUUUGAAACUGGCAAGCUAGAGUCUUGUANAGGGGGGUAGAAUUCCAGGUGUAGCGGUGAAAUGCGUAAAGAUCUGGAGGAAUACCGGUGGCGAAGGCGGCCCCCUGGACAAAGACUGACGCUCANGUGCGAAAAGCGUGGGGAGCAAACAGGAUUAAAUACCCUG